ACACUCCUACGGGAGGCAGCAGUGAGGAAUAUUGGACAAUGGGUGGAAGCCUGAUCCAGCCAUCCCGCGUGCAGGAAGACGGCCCUAUGGGUUGUAAACUGCUUUUAUCUGGGGAUAAACCUACUUACGUGUAAGUAGCUGAAGGUACCAGAAGAAUAAGCACCGGCUAACUCCGCGCCAGCAGCCGCGGUAAUACGGAGGGUGCAAGCGUUAUCCGGAUUUAUUGGGUUUAAAGGGUCCGUAGGCGGACUGAUAAGUCAGUGGUGAAAUCCGACAGCUUAACUGUCGAACUGCCAUUGAUACUGUUAGUCUUGAGUAAGGUUGAAGUGGCUGGAAUAAGUAGUGUAGCGGUGAAAUGCAUAGAUAUUACUUAGAACACCAAUUGCGAAGGCAGGUCACUAAGUCUUAACUGACGCUGAUGGACGAAAGCGUGGGGAGCGAACAGGAUUAGAAACCCCAGUAGUCCCAUGA
rnacentral:rRNA from 1 species